AAUGUAACAUCGGUGCAUGUCUGUCACCCGCAGCCAGGCCCCCUCCUGAGACAUCCCCGGAAUGGGGGGGAGGUUGCGAACGAGCGUGGGGUAGCCCCUGAAUUGCAGGGAAGAACAGUACGUAUGAGCAGUGCUAGGGAGCGGAGACAGGAGGGGACCAGCGUGUUUAGUAUUCAAGUCGGGAGCGUGUGUGGAUGCAGAGCGUGAGUCAUCCCAUCCCAUCAAUCACCCCUCACCAGCGGCCCCCGACACGCGGAACACAGCGUAUAAAUCUCCGUGCCUUCAAGGACCGUCACGACCGCGUCUCGUCCAAUGAAUAUUUAGCUCCCGUGCCAAAUGAAAGAUUUUAUUACAACCCGCGCAGCCGACUCACAGCUAUAUGGAAUUAUGAGCAGAGAACUGCAAUCGGGAUCAUUGGAAAGCAAACACUGUCUUUGUAAACCGUAACCCUUGAUGAUGAAUAGCACUGUGAACGAGGAAUGUAUGAAAACUCACGGAAAAUUAUCUUCGUUCCACCACACCCUUCUGAAAAAAAGACUCAGUGCAGAAACCAACGGUGGUCUGCAGCACUGCUGCAUCUCCCUCCCAGGGGUGUCACGCUGGCGUGACAGUACUAUUACAUCCCGACGGGUGAUCAGUCUGCACAGAGUUAAACAGGUAUUACAGAGGCUUGAGUUAGUCUUGGAUAGACUCCAGGAGAAAAACCUGAAGAUCAAGUUAAAGACAAAACAAUGAAGAUUGGAUUAUGGAGCAUUGCAAGAGGCUUGACCACGACAAUUGAAAUGCCCAGCAUCAUCUUCAAGCUACACCUGCUCAAAGGGCACAAUGGAGGAUGUAUUGAAAGAAGGACAGUUGGUGUACCAAAAGACCCAUAAGGUGAGAGGGCAGAAUACGAUUCAAGAUCUAUGGGACCCAACACUUCAUAAAGUGGUGAAGUGCCCAGAUGAUCACGGCCCAGUAUACACUAUCACACCAUUAGAGGGAGAAGGCAGGGUUAAGCAAGUUCAUAGAAGCAAACUAUGACCUGCAUCUGGACAUUCGUCAGUGGGCCAAAGUAUCGAGUACGAAGACCCAGGGAUCCCACUGGGAUUGCUGGACCCACAACCUUGUUGAGGUUUGUGAUUUGUCCCUCUCGUUCAGUUUUCUGUUAAGACCACUACUGGAACGUUCAAUUCCACAGCAGGCUGCAGGCUGAAGGCACUGGUGAGGUUCUGGGUAUUCUGCGGUGUUGCAGUGUAACAUUUGAAUUUCAGCUUGCAGCGUAAUCUUGACUUUAUGGUUUGAAGUGCAUGCAUGCCAACUUGUGGUGGAUGUUAAUUAGAAAAUGCCAGACCUAAAAACAUUCAAAUUCUCAAAUUUACAAUACAUUUGAAAAAAUUAGAAUGAUAUUCAAGUAGUUUUCACAUUUUUUAAGACAGUCCAACGAGGCACUCCUGGAAGGAUUUCAUGGUGUAUACAGUGCAAUGAAGUACUACACUAUCGAUAUAUUUUUCAUUUUUUGGUCGUUUGACAGAAAAAAUGUAAACUUAUUCGUUCAAUAGCUUGCGCACAGCACCACAAUCUGCCAUGAUUUCUAAGCGAACAGUAAAAAAAAAAAAAAAAACUGCAUCCCCAGUGGCUGACAGGCACAUAUUUGCAUUUUGUUCUCUCAUUACUUCACAGUGCUGCACGUGUUAUCACAGCAGCGGAAUACAUACCAAGCAAAUGUUAAAAUAAUGCUAAAAUAUUUAUCACACAGCUGGGCGUGACAUCUGGACCAGCCAGCCACCUGUUGUUGUCAGGCAUGCAGCUGACCAAAAUUCACAGCACAGGACUUUAGUCAGGUCCUGUAGGUGUGGACAGUCAUAAUAUAAAAAAAUCAGCCUCAUUUUAUGUCACGUAUAGGGGUACGUGUGUUUUGGUAUGCAGCCAUGAUAAGACAGGCUUAUGCUGAUUGUACAUUUCUGCAUGUGUAUAUUAUUUAACUGGAUACAUUGUGAUGUGCAUUUUUGUGCUAGUGCAGUAUGUUAAUGUUUAAGUAACUGGACUUGUAACUCAGAGUUCGCAGGUUUGAUUCCCAUGUGGAACAGUACUGCUGUAUUCUUGAGCAAGGUAUUUUCUGUAUGGUCUUGGUAAGUAUCAAGCUGUAUAGAAGGAUUGUAUGCAAAACAGCACUGGAUGGCUGGUAGAUACUGGAGGUUGUGUAAAUUGAGCUGUAGCCACUGUUUUGGUCACUCCACUCCAGUCUCCCACAGCUUCACAUUUGCAUUACAAUUUUAAAUAAAUCUGCAUUUAAAUAAAUAAAUCUGACUUGACAACAGAAAAACA